rnacentral:rRNA from 10 species
AAGACGACGACGUUGAUAGGCCGGGUGUGUAAGCGCAGCGAUGCGUUGAGCUAACCGGUACUAAUGAACCGUGAGGCUUAACCUUACAACGCCGAAG